CAGUAGCCACGGUAAUACGAAGGGGGCCAGCGUUGUUCGGAAUUACUGGGCGUAAAGCGUACGUAGGCGGAUAUUUAAGUCAGGGGUGAAAUCCCGCAGCUCAACUGCGGAACUGCCUUUGAUACUGGGUAUCUUGAGUAUGGAAGAGGUUAGUGGAAUUGCGAGUGUAGAGGUGAAAUUCGUAGAUAUUCGGAAGAACACCAGUGGCGAAGGCGGCUGACUGGACAUGUAUUGACGCUGAGGUGCGAAAGCGUGGGGAGCAAACAGGAUUAGAUACCCCAGUAGUCCCUGUCUCUUAUAA
rnacentral:rRNA from 1 species